AGCGUCCCGCCUGCCAGUGAAUAUUUUUAACGGCCGCGGUAUUCUAACCGUGCAAAGGUAGCGUAAUCACUUGUCUUCUAAAUAAAGACUAGUAUGAAUGGCUAAAUGAGGACAAACCUGUCUCCUGCAACAGAUCAGUGAAAUUGAUCUUUUGGUACAAAAGCCAGAAUAAUUUCAUAAGACGAGAAGACCCUGUGGAGCUUAAAAUUUACUGCUAAUUAAAGACUAACACUAAUUUUAAGUUGGGGCGACUUCGGAACGAAAUAGAACUUCCGAGCAAGGAGCCACCCCCUCCUAAUAAGGCCAACAAGCCAACACAACUGACCCAGUCACACUGAUCAACGAACCAAGUUACCCCAGGGAUAACAGCGCAAUCCCCUUCAAGAGUUCAUAUCGACAGGGGGGUUUACGACCUCGAUGUUGGAUCAGGACACCCAGAUGGUGCAGCCGCUAUCAAAGGUUCGUUUGUUCAACGAUUAAUAGUCCUACGUGAUCUGAGU
rnacentral:rRNA from 1 species